GGGGUUGCAUUAGUUGAUCUCUAGAGGCUCCCUUCCUAAAUUAUACAACUCCUUGGGAUUUUAUUUUGGUCUGGGGUCUGCUUUUGUUUUGUUUUGUAACUGAAUGGUAUCUACCAUAUUGUACUGACUGAAAACCUGUAUCUUCUUUCCCAGAUCAAGUUGUGUGUGCUUUAGCAUGCCAGACUUCAAUAAAGCAGGCUGUAAUCGCUUGGAAGUGGAACAUACUCCAGGCCAUACAAGAACCAGCUGUCCAUGAUGAAGCAGAAAUCCUGCUAGGUUGUGGCCUAAACAGUUUUCCUUGGACUCCAUGGGUGACAUGCUGCUGGCAAUUCUGCCACAUUUAUUACUUGCUGCAUGGCUGUUAAAUCUGCUGCUUGAUGGUUCCCUGGGAUCGUUUCUGUGUUCUUCAAAGUAAAGCUUGGCCUUCAUUCCUCAGGAUAAAACAAGGUUAUACUGAGCAAGGAAAUGGAGGUGAGCUUUACCCUGUGUGUUUUUGUCACUUGCUGUGCCUUCCAAAUUGUCUUAUAUCCAGUUUAUAUCCAUUUAUAUUGUAUUUUCCACACUGUAUAUGCAGUAAAUACUGGCCACAGAUGUAACAUAAGGCCCUGUUUAUCUAAACUGGGUGAGGAGCAAUGGCAGGAAAGAACAGACACAAAACCAACAAAAACCCCAACCACACUUCAGCAAUCAGAUUAGACUGAAAGAUAUUUAUUUAGAAACAACAGCUUUGGUAUUUUAAACCCAAACAACCUGUAAGUCACUAGAAAGUGGGGUGAAUUCCCCAAUAGCCAAAACAAAUCAAUGCACAAAAUCUCAAUAGGCUUAGAAUAGGAAACGUGUAGAUCAGCAUUUCCAAGUGCAUAUCCAGAAAACAAGUUCAUUAAAUUGAUUUUGGACUCUACAGUCAUAAAGGCUGAAACACCUGUUACAAGAACUUAUCAACAGUUAAGAUUGUUAGAUAUCGACAGUUCAAUUGACUGUUACUGAAGUGGAGGAAAAAUCAACAUACUCCCCCUCCCCCCAAGCAAUAAAUUACUGUAUACCAGAAA